CCGGAGGCAGCAGUGAGGAAUAUUGGUCAAUGGAGGCAACUCUGAACCAGCCAUGCCGCGUGCAGGAAGACAGCCCUCUGGGUCGUAAACUGCUUUUAUUCGGGAAUAAACCUUUCUACGUGUAGGAAGCUGAAUGUACCGAAGGAAUAAGGAUCGGCUAACUCCGUGCCAGCAGCCGCGGUAAUACGGAGGAUCCAAGCGUUAUCCGGAUUUAUUGGGUUUAAAGGGUGCGUAGGCGGCUUAUUAAGUCAGGGGUGAAAGACGGUGGCUCAACCAUCGCAGUGCCUUUGAUACUGAUGAGCUUGAAUGAACUAGAGGUAGGCGGAAUGUGACAAGUAGCGGUGAAAUGCAUAGAUAUGUCACAGAACACCGAUUGCGAAGGCAGCUUACUAUGGUUUUAUUGACGCUGAGGCACGAAAGCGUGGGGAUCAAACAGGAUUAGAUACCCGUGUAGUCCU
rnacentral:rRNA from 1 species